rnacentral:pre_miRNA from 1 species
AAAAAAAAAAGACAAACGUUUAUGUGUCCAACAUUUGACCGUUCAUCUUAUAUGAAUUUUUUUUUAUAAUUAGUAUUUUCAUUGUUGUUAGAUGAUAAAAUAUGAUUAAUACUUUAUGUGUGAUUUGUCUUUUAAAUUUUUUCAUAAUUUUUUCAAAUAAGACGGAUGGUCAACAUGGAAACUCAAGGUUUGUCUUUUU